ensembl:lncRNA
GGAUGGACGCCAGGCUGGACAGUCAGAGAAGCGAGUGCUGUGAGUGCAUCGACCGCCCUCUGUAACCCGAACUCUGUGUGUUUCCUCAGGAGCUUUCCGCCAUCGGCCAGGCUUUAAUUGAAAGAGCUCUAGAAACGUUAAGGAAACUGAAGCAUAGAAAAAUAACCUGUCAAAAUGGGUUGAAAAUGGCAUUCUUCAGGCAGAAGGAAGUGAUCCCAGUUGUUAACCAAGAGAUACAUGAGGAAAUAAACAUCAACCAAAAUAGUAAAUAUAUGGGUAAAUCUAUCUGAAUAUUGAUAUUGACUAUUUAUAUCGAUUGUAGUAAUGUCUUCUGUAUUUAAACGUACACAAAUGGUAAAUGAACUUCCCAGGUGGUUCAUGGCAAAGAAUUCACCUGUCAAUGCAGGAGAUGUGGGUUCAAUUCCUGCGUCAGGAAGAUCCCCUGGAGAGGAAAAUGGCAACUCAUUCCAGUAUUCUUGCCUGGGCAAUCCCAUGGACAGAGAAGCCUGGCAGGCUGUAGUCCAUGGGCUCACAAAAGAGUAGAACAUGGCUAAAUGACAUAAAAUC